UCCACGCAUGGCGUGGAUUUACCGCAGCGGGUCUUGGCCCUGGUAGGUGCCAACCUUGGUUGGCACUGAUGCGUGCAUCCACGCAUGGCGUGGAUC
rnacentral:tRNA from 1 species